GGCUGACUCAUGCCAUUGCCAAUGCAGCA
rnacentral:piRNA from 1 species